rnacentral:rRNA from 1 species
GCCUACGACCAUAUCACCCUGAAUGCGCCCGAUCUCGUCUGAUCUCGGAAACUAAGCAGGGUCGAGUCUGGUUAGUACUUGGAUGGGAGACUGCCUGGGAAUAGCAGGUGUUGUAUGCU